GACGAACGCUGGCGGCGUGCUUAACACAUGCAAGUCGAACGGAAAGGCCCUGCUUUUGUGGGGUGCUCGAGUGGCGAACGGGUGAGUAACACGUGAGUAACCUGCCCUUGACUUUGGGAUAACUUCAGGAAACUGGGGCUAAUACCGGAUAGGAGCUCCUGCUGCAUGGGGGGGGUUGGAAAGUUUCGGCGGUUGUGGAUGGACUCGCGGCUUAUCCGCUUGUUUGUGGGGUAGUGGCUUACCAAGGCUUUGACGGGUAGCCGGCCUGAGAGGGUGACCGGCCACAUUGGGACUGAGAUACGGCCCAGAAUCCUACGGGAGGCAGCAGUGGGGAAUAUUGCACAAUGGGCGGAAGUCUGAUGCAGCAACGCCGCGUGCGGGAUGACGGCCUUCGGGUUGUAAACCGCUUUCGCCUGUGACGAAGCGUGAGUGACGGUAAUGGGUAAAGAAGCACCGGCUAACUACGUG
rnacentral:rRNA from 1 species